UAGAUGCGAGAGUAGAGCAUAUCAAUAAGCGGAGGAAAAGAAACUAACAAGGAUUCCCUUAGUAACGGCGAGUGAAGCGGGAAGAGCUCAAAUUUGAAAUCUUCAAGGUUCUACCUUGACGAAUUGUAGUUUAUAGAAGUGUUUUCUGUUAGUAGGAGUGGCAAAAGUUCUUUGGAAUAGGACAUCAUAGAGGGUGAGAAUCCCGUAUUUGGUCAUUCCUUUCUAGCUUUGUGAUACACUUUCAAAGAGUCGGAUUGUUUGGGAAUGCAGUCCAAAAUGGGUGGUAAAUUUCAUCUAAAGCUAAAUAUUGGCGAGAGACCGAUAGCGAACAAGUACCGUGAGGGAAAGAUGAAAAGAACUUUGAAAAGAGAGUUAAACAGUACGUGGAAAUUGUCAAAAGGGAAGCGUUUGACACCAGUGUUGUUUUUCCGAAAAUCAAUUACGAAUGUUUUAGUUUUUGAGGAGUUAUGACUUCAUCGGCUUGCUCCUUUCUUUAUGAAACUUUCUUAAUGCACUUUUCGGUUAACAAGUCAACAUCAAUUUCUUUUGUUGUAAAAGGGUACGAGGAAGGUGGCUUUCUUUUCGGAGAAAGUGUUUAUAGCCUUGUGACUUCUGCAAUCGGAGAGAUUGAGGUCUGCAGCGUAGAUCCUUCGGGGUUAGAUGCAGUUUGUGCUAAGCUAUAGCCUUUUCAUAGACAACUUGUUGACUAUGAUCAGUCAUGUAGCUUACUCGCUUAUGUCUAUUUUACCUACGCUUAGGAUGUUGACGAGACUGUCGAUCUC
rnacentral:rRNA from 1 species